rnacentral:lncRNA from 1 species
UCUAAUGCUUGUUUAUGACAUGUUUAAUGUGUCUUUACAUUUAAUUUGUUUAUUGCACUCAUGUACAGGUGUUUCCCGUAAGAGAAAAGUCAAUGAAUCGACCAAGCAGAAUGUUGGUGUGGUGACUGGUGGAGGUGAAGACGUUCCGGCAGCUGCUCCAAAAAAAACAAGGCAUGAAAAGAGAAAGGAAGCCCUUGUCAACUACAAGCAGCUUGUGGUGAAGCCUGCGGAAGCCUACGCAUCGUUGUUCACAAGAACAACAUCUUGUGCUCUUUUUAAGGCUAUAGGUCACAAAUUGAAUACUUGACCUACGUAUGGCUUGACAGUAUCAUCACAAAUUGGAAUAUGUAACUGGUGAAUGUCAUUCCCUGCUCCAUUUUGAAUACCGUCUGUCGUGGACAAAUUAACGGAGUGAACGAAAGCACAAUUUGAAGCACAAUUUAUGAUGAAUAAGAAGAAGUGAAUUUCACUUAUAAAAUAUAAGAUAUACAAGCAGUAGCUUCUAAAUGGCCAGAUAUGAUUCGUCUGCAUAUUCAAUAUGUGGUUUACUUAACAUCAUUUAACAUGAAUUAUUGCUGUACAUAUAUGGCAAAUAAUGUAUCUUUUAAUUAGCCACAUAGUUCAUAUUAUGUGAAUCCACUGAAUUUUUACUGAUUCAUGCUAGUUCAUGAAUGAUUCAUUCGAUUCGAAAAUGAUGAAUUAUAAAUGAAUGCAUGAUGAAUUAUACGUAUUAGAUGCAUGUGUCUUCAUAAUUCGUACGAAAUCAACAUUCUAACAAUAUAUUACUUCAUGAAAUACACACUGCAAUUAAAUUCUAUUAUACAUUUCGAAAGAGUGAAACAUUCCGACAUAUAAUAGUUCAUACUAUUCCGACAAACUAAUAUUGAUAUGGCUUAAUUUAUACUGGUUCAUGCUAGUUCAGGGAUGAGACAUAUCAGUAAUUGUUCUUCCCCAUAAUUCGUACCAAUUCACCAUGAUACCAAUACAUUAUCUCAUGAAAUACACAUUGCAAUUCAAUUCUAUUAUACAUUUCGAAAAACUCAAUCAUAAACACAUCAAAAUAACAAAAGAAGAACAAUUUUCAUAGACAUGAAAUUUAUGAGGGAAAAAUUUAAUCGACAAUAAUCGUUAAUAAACGUUUUCAAUGGGAUUGGAAAAACACGUGGAAUAGAGAAUAGAUUAGAGAGAAUUGUAUAUAGAUUAAGAAUAAAAUCUGACAUAUGAAGAAAAAAAUCAUCACAUACCGUUGUCUUCCAUAAUAUUUCUGGGAUAUUGAGAAGGUCUGACGUGAAGAAAAUCAGUUUCUUUUGUUUUACGGGUGAUUUAGGUUUAGAAAGAGAAAAUAGAUGUUUAGAGAGAAUAAGAUAC